rnacentral:lncRNA from 1 species
UGUAAAUUAAUUUAGGGCUAAGCAUGUAGACAAUUGAACUAAAUUCACAUGCUAUAAAAGAUUCGAUCUUCGUGUUAUUAAAAAUAGUUUUGUGACAAUUCCCUCUUAUUAAAAAUUUGAAUUCUUAAAUAAUAAAAUAUAAGAUACUUUAUUAUGAAGCUAUCCAUCAAGGUAAUCAAUUUUACUUACUUCUUGUUUAUAAGGAGCGGCCUGACUACCAGGAGACUUAUAGUUCGAGAA